rnacentral:rRNA from 1 species
GACGAACGCUGGCGGCGUGCCUAACACAUGCAAGUCGCACGGGAUUGGGGGCAACUCCAGUUCAGUGGCAGAUGGGUGCGUAACACGUGAGGAACUUGUCCGACGGCGGGGAUAGCCGGCCCAACGGCCGGGUAAUACCGCGUACGCUCAUUUGGGGACAUCCCCGGGUGAGGAAAGCAGCCGCAAGGUUGCGCCGAUGGAGAGCCUCGCGGCGUAUCAGCUAGNGGCGGGUAACGGCCCACCAAGGCUACGACGCGUAGCUGGUCUGAGAGGAUGGCCAGCCACAUUGGGACUGAGACACGGCCCAGACUCCUACGGGAGGCAGCAGUGGGAAUAUUGCGCAAUGGACCGAAGGCUGACGCAGCGACGCCGCGUGU